CUUGCAGGAUAAGAUGACAGCAAAGGAAAGUGCAACUUGGCUUGCCAUCAUCAAUCAGGAGGAAGUUUUGGCUCGCGAACUUUAUCCUGAUCGCUGUCCACCUUUGUCCUCAGGUGGUAGUAGUGGAACCUUCACUAUGAACGACAGCAGUGAGUAUGAUGUUGAAGGUGCUCAAGAUGAGCCUAACUUUGAUGUUCAUGAGCAAAAACCAAACCAUCUCAAUCUGUUGAACAUCAGUGCUGAGAGAUUCAAGGAGACGAUGCCUCUUCAGCAACAAUCUCAUCCAAACAAGGAUGAACUGAUCACAAACUUAGACUUCAGUCUGAAGAGGAAGCAAGCUAAUGAACCUACUGUGAUGAUGGAUCAAAAGAUAUACACAUGCGAGUUUCUUCAAUGCCCUCACAAUGAACUUCGCCAUGGUUUUCAGGACAGAUCUUCCAGAGACAAUCAUCAAUUUGCUUGCCUUUACCGAAGUUCUACCUGUUUUGGAGUUUCAAACUUUCAGAUUAAUGAAGUCAAGCCAGUUGUGUUCCCUCAACAAUAUGUCCAGCCAAAGUCAUCUGCUCUGCCUGUUAAUCAAGGUCCACCUUCCUUUGAUCUAUCUGGUAUAGGAGUUCCUGAAGAUGGGCAAAGGAUGAUUAAUGAGCUUAUGUCAAUCUAUGAUAGUAAUGUACAAGGAAGCAAAAGGCAAAAUAGGGGGAACAUUGCAUUGACCAAAGAGCAGCCUCAUCAACAACCUCGUGUCCACCAGGACAACUACCUGCUCAGCCAAGGGAUAAUGGACGGAAAUAUCUUCAAAAACACUAAUAUUUCCACAACUCAGUCUAUGCUCCCACAAGUCGAUCCAUUUGAUCAAUCCAAGGCUUUCAAUGCAGGCUCCAACGACAACUUCCAUUUCAUGUUUGGGUCUCCAUUCAACAUACAAUCUACCAAUUAUAACGGAAAUCUACCUAGCAUUGGAUACGAUACCACACCAAAACAAGAUGCUCCUAUUUGGUACUAGCCAGCCAGAAGUCUGUUGACAUGUUGUAUAUCAAGUAGUCAGUUUUGGCUUCAUAGAUAUAGCGAUUUCUCAUGGGUAAAAAGAUCCCAUGUACUCGUCUGCUUUUUUCAUUCUGGUGGAUUUUUCAUCGCCUAUAGUCCUCUUAGUUAUGGUGUUUUCAGUUACCAUGUGUUGUAAAGGUUGAAGAACUAGGCAUGGUGUAAACAAACACCCCUCAAAUACUUGCCAAUGCUUCUCAUAGGACAUGUAGAUAUAAAUAAGUUACUUGUUUCAUCAUGGCCAGUUUUAUCAGUCUCUUUAAAACUGUUGAAUUUAUAGGCUAUGGUUAAGGUCUUUACUCCUUGUUUAAUACUUCUUCUCAAGAUUGUUUGAGAUAUCAAUGUUGUUAUUGUUGCCAUAUCUUAUAUGAUGUUUUUCUUUCAUUAUCUUAUGUUUCAAAGUU
rnacentral:misc_RNA from 1 species